AUGGUGAAAUAAACCAGUUUCCAUGAUUUUUGGAGGGUCAAACAAAGUACCACUAAGGAAGAACUGAAAAAGGCUUAUAGGAAACUGGCCUUGAAGUACCACCCUGAUAAAAAUCCAAAUGGAGAGAAGUUUAAACAGAUUUCUCAAGUUUACAAAGUUAUUUCUGAUGCCACGAAAAGAGAAUUGUAUAACAAAGGAAGAUAACAGGUAAAUAAGAGGGCUGAGCAAGUGGCAGUUCUGGGUCCCCUAUGGACAUCUUCAAUAUAAUUAUUUAUGGAGGAAGAAGAAUGCAGAGAGGAAAGAGGAGUAACAUUGUUGUGCAUCAGCUCUCAAAACCUUAAAAAAUGUAUGUGAUGGUACAACAAGAAAAUUGGUACUUCACAAGAAUGUAAUUUGUGACUAAUGUGAAGACAGAAGUGGGGAAAAAAAGAGGAGAGAAGUAUAGUGUUGUCCCAGUUGCCAAGUUACUGGACUGUAAAUAAGAAUUCAUGCAAUAGGGCCUGGGAUGGUUCAGCAUACUUAGUCUCUAUGUAUGCAUGGAGUGCCACGGUCAUGGAGAAUGAAUCAGUCCUAAAGACAGAUGUAAACACUGAAAUGGAAGAAGGAUAGUUUGAGGGGAAAAGAUUCUAGAAGUUCAUGUUGACAAAGACAUGAAAUAUGGCCAGAAGAUAACAUUUCAUGGUGAAAGAGACAAAGAACCAGGAUUGGAGCCAGGAGAUAUUAUCAUUGAGUUAGAUGAAAAGGACCAUGCUGUUUUUACUUGACAAGAAGACUAGUUUAUGUCUAUGGACAGACAGCUGGUUAAAAUGUUGUGUGGUUUCCAAAAACCAAUAUCCACUCUUGACUACUGAACUAUAGUCAUCACCUCUCACCCAGGUCACAUUGUCAAAUAUGGAGAUAUCAAAUGUGUGCUAAAUGAAGUCAUGCCAGUUUUUCAUAGACCAUAUGAAAAGCAUCACCUAAUCAUCAAAUUCAAGGUAAACUUUCCUGAGAAUGGUUUUCUGUCUCAUGAUAAGCUCUCUUAGUUGGGUAAACUCCUACCUGACAGGAAGGAAAUAGAAGAGAUUGAUGAAAUGGAUCAAGUUAGAACUGGUGUAUUUUGAUUCAAAUCAGGAAAAACAGCACUAUUACAAUGGAGAAACAUGUGAGGAUGAUAAACAUCAUCCCAGAGGUGGUGUUCACUGCCAAACUUCAUAA
rnacentral:lncRNA from 1 species